AGAGUUUGAUCCUGGCUCAGGAUGAACGCUAGCGGCAGGCUUAACACAUGCAAGUCGAGGGGUAAGGCACUUUCGGGUGUACACGACCGGCGCACGGGUGAGUAACGCGUAUGCAACCUACCUUUUACAGGGGAAUAGCCCAGGGAAACUUGGAUUAAUGCCCCAUACGAUCUACCAGUGGCAUCACUGGUUUUUUGAAAACUACGGUGGUAAAAGAUGGGCAUGCGUGCCAUUAGCUAGUUGGUAAGGUAACGGCUUACCAAGGCAACGAUGGCUACGGGGUCUUAAAGGAUGGUCCCGCACACUGGUACUGAGACACGGACCAGACUCCUACGGGAGGCAGCAGUGAGGAAUAUUGGUCAAUGGGGGGAACCCUGAACCAGCCAUGCCGCGUGCAGGAAGACUGCCCUAUGGGUUGUAAACUGCUUUUGUUCGACAGGAAAUGCAGCUACGUGUAGUUGUUUGACCCUCGGACGAAUAAGCAUCGGCUAACUCCGUGCCAGCAGCCGCGGUAAUACGGAGGAUGCGAGCGUUAUCCGGAUUUAUUAGGUUUAAAGGGUGCGUAGGCGGGAUACUCAGUCAGUGGUGAAAGGCUACAGCUUAACUGUAGGACUGCCAUUGAUACUGGUAACCUUGAGUUCAGAUGAGGUGGGCGGAAUGUGUAAUGUAGCGGUGAAAUGCUUAGAUAUUACCCAGAACACCGAUUGCGAAGGCAGCUCACUAAUCUUCAACUGACGCUGAUGCACGAAAGCGUGGGGAGCGAACAGGAUUAGAUACCCUGGUAGUCCACGCCGUAAACGAUGAUCACUCGUUGUAUGCUUGCAAAGGCAUGUGACUGAGCGAAAGCAUUAAGUGAUCCACCUGGGGAGUACGUCGGCAACGAUGAAACUCAAAGGAAUUGACGGGGGCCCGCACAAGCGGAGGAACAUGUGGUUUAAUUCGAUGAUACGCGAGGAACCUUACCUGGGCUUAAAUGGAUGCUGCAUGUAUUGGAAACAGUACUUUCUUCGGACUGCGUCCAAGGUGCUGCAUGGCUGUCGUCAGCUCGUGCCGUGAGGUGUCGGGUUAAGUCCCAUAACGAGCGCAACCCCUAUCCUUAGUUGCCAACGGGUCAUGCCGGGGACUCUAAGGAGACUGCCACCGUAAGGUGUGAGGAAGGUGGGGAUGACGUCAAGUCAGCACGGCCCUUAUGUCCAGGGCUACACACGUGUUACAAUGGCCGGUACAAAGGGCAGCUACCUGGUAACAGGGUGCUAAUCUCAAAAGCCGGUCCCAGUUCGGAUCGGAGUCUGCAACUCGACUCCGUGAAGUUGGAUUCGCUAGUAAUCGCGCAUCAGCAACGGCGCGGUGAAUACGUUCCCGGGCCUUGUACACACCGCCCGUCAAGCCAUGGAAGCCGGGGGUACCUGAAGUCCGUAACCGCAAGGAGCGGCCUAGGGUAAAACUGGUAACUGGGGCUAAGUCGUAACAAGGUA
rnacentral:rRNA from 1 species